UACGAAGGGGGCUAGCGUUGCUCGGAAUCACUGGGCGUAAAGGGUGCGUAGGCGGGUCUUUAAGUCAGGGGUGAAAUCCUGGAGCUCAACUCCAGAACUGCCUUUGAUACUGAGGAUCUUGAGUCCGGGAGAGGUGAGUGGAACUGCGAGUGUAGAGGUGAAAUUCGUAGAUAUUCGCAAGAACACCAGUGGCGAAGGCGGACUCACUGGCCCGG
rnacentral:rRNA from 1 species